UUUGUGUUUAUUUUUAUAAUUUCAGCUCCUAACCUAACAUAAUUAGAUUCAAAUAUGACUUUAUCGUUUUUAUUUCCAUUUUGGAAGAGGGAAUGAAGAAAAUUUACAGAUAUGACAAACAUCUAGCUAGAAGAUGGAAUCCUGCGUUCUUAAAAUAAAAAAAAGCUAGUUCCAGAAGUAAGCUACCAAUAAUAAACUAGAGAAUGUAUUACAAGAAAGAACAACGCUAAUACUCAACAUAGCUCAAUUGCUUCAGAUAGAAAAAGAGGAGGAAAGGGUACAACACAAGCGUGCCAGAGAAAAUGAAAGGGCAGAAGAGAGACACAAAAUUCAUUGAUUUAUUAAAUUUACAAAUUAAAUUAUACAAAGGACAAUUAAAUAAAAAAUUAAAAAAUGA